GCUUUACUGUAGCCUGGAAUUGUGUUCGGGCUUGGCUUGCGCAGGAUAGGUGGGAAGCGUAGAGAUAUUCCUUGUGGGGAGUAUGGAGCUAACGGUGAGAUACCACUCUGGCGAAGCUAGAAUUCUAACUAAGUCCGUAAUCCGGAAUUAGAACAUUUUCAGGUGGGCAGUUUGACUGGGGCGGUCGCCUCCCAAAAGGUAACGGAGGCGCGCAAUGGUUCUCUCAGCACGGUUGGAAAUCGUGCGUCGAGUGUAAAGGCAAUAAGAGAGCUUGACUGUGACACAAACAAGUGGAGCAGGUACGAAAGUAGGCCUUAGUGAUCCGACGGCGCAGAGUGGAAUGGCCGUCGCUCAACGGAUAAAAGUUA
rnacentral:rRNA from 1 species